rnacentral:rRNA from 1 species
UACGUAGGGUGCAAGCGUUGUCCGGAAUUAUUGGGCGUAAAGAGCCCGUAGGCGGUUUGUCGCGUCUGCUGUGAAAACGCGAGGCUCAACCUCGCGCCUGCAGUGGGUACGGGCAGACUAGAGUGCGGUAGGGGGAGAUUGGAAUUCCUGGUGUAGCGGUGGAAUGCGCAGAUAUCAGGAGGAACACCGAUGGCGAAGGCAGAUCUCUGGGCCGUAACUGACGCUGAGGAGCGAAAGCGUGGGGGAGCGAACAGG